rnacentral:rRNA from 1 species
UUAAGCAUAUCAAUAAGCGGAGGAAAAGAAACUAACAAGGAUUCCCCUAGUAACUGCGAGUGAAGCGGGAAGAGCUCAAAUUUAAAAUCUGACGGUUCUGCCGUCCGAGUUGUAAUCUGGAGAAGCGUUUUCUGUGCUGGACCGUGCAUAAGUGUCUUGGAAUAGGACGUCAUAGAGGGUGAGAAUCCCGUCUUUGGCACGGACUACCAGUGCUCUGUGAUACGCUCUCAAAGAGUCGAGUUGUUUGGGAAUGCAGCUCAAAAUGGGUGGUAAAUUCCAUCUAAAGCUAAAUAUAGGCGAGAGACCGAUAGCGAACAAGUACCGUGAGGGAAAGAUGAAAAGCACUUUGGAAAGAGAGUUAAACAGUACGUGAAAUUGUUGAAAGGGAAACGCUUGAAGUCAGUCGCGUUGUCCAGGACUCAACCUCAGUUUUCUUUGGUGUAUUUCCUGGUUAACGGGUCAACAUCAAUUUUGAUCGGUGGACAAAGGCAGAGGGAAUGUGGCACCUUCGGGUGUGUUAUAGCCCCUUGUCAUAUACACCGGUUGGGAUUGAGGAUAUCACGCCCUCGGCGGUAGGAUGUUGACAUAAUGGCUUUAAGCGACCCGUCUUGAAACACGGACCAAGGAGUCUAACAUGCCUGCGAGUGUUAGGGUGGUAAACCCUUGCGCGUAAUGAAAGUGAAAGUUGGGACCUCUUUGAGGGCACCGACGCCCGGCCUUGAACUCUUGUGACGGUGCUGCGGUAGAGCAUGUAUGUUGGGACCCGAAAGAUGGUGAACUAUGCCUGAAUAGGGCGAAGCCAGAGGAAACUCUGGUGGAGGCUCGUAGCGAUUCUGACGUGCAAAUCGAUCGUCAAAUUUGGGGUAUAGGGGCGAAAGACUAAUCGAAACCAUCUAGUAGCUGGCUCCUGUCCGAAGUU